CAACCUUGUGUCGGUGACUCUUUUGAUGAAAAUGUUUGUACAGGAGCCGGUUCAUGUCCAGUACCAGUCGAUGGAAACUGGGGCGCAUGGUCAGUUGCUGCCCCGUGCAGUGCUACAUGCGGAACCGGACAUUCGGUAAGAACGAGGAACUGUGACAACCCUGCCCCAAGUAAUGGAGGAAGAGUGUGCACUGGAGAUACUAUGGUAGUUGAACAGUGUACAGUUACUGCAUGUCCGGCGUCCGGGUCGUGAAACGGAACUGGAUCGUCAAGCCGGGGAGCAAAUUACGUUAACGUUUGUCCCGUUGGCUGGCUAUCGUGUGCCUCAGGUUCAGUCACGUGCAUAGACGAAGCAUUCAAGUGUGACUGCGUUCCUGACUGCGAUGACAGAAGUGACGAGACUGAACUCUGGGCUGGUUGCGACCCGACUUUGAUGCAGCUCUGUUCAGCAGCU